rnacentral:rRNA from 2 species
CCUAUCCCUCGUGUGCCUUCGGUCGAGUCUCAGCGACCGGGGAGGGUUUGGGUCGACCUCCGAUAGUUCGGCGUCCAUCGCAUCCUGGGGCUGUAGUCGGUCCCAAGGGUUGGGCUGUUCGCCCAUUAAAGCGGUACGCGAGCUGGGUUCAGAACGUCGUGAGACAGUUCGGUCCCUAUCCGUCGCGGGCGCAGGAAAUUUGAGAGGAGCUGUCCUUAGUACGAGAGGACCGGGAUGGACGUUCCGCUGGUGUACCAGUUGUGCCGCCAGGCGCAUCGCUGGGUAGCUAUGAACGGCAGGGAUAAACGCUGAAAGCAUCUAAGUGUGAAGCCCCCCUCGAGAUGAGAUUUCCCAUUCCUAUAUGGAAGUAAGACCCCUGAGAGAUGAUCAGGUAGAUAGGCUGGAAGUGGAAGUGCAGCGAUGCAUGGAGCGGACCAGUACUAAUCGGUCGAGGACUUAACCAA